AAGUAGCAUAAAAUGGAAAAUCUCAAGUAAAGUCCAAUUACCUUGAAUUUGUACUUUAAUAGUAACUUAGUAACUUAUGUCGAAUAUUUUCUCUCUGUAUGGUUCAAUCUAUUAUUACUCUCUCCGUGCAUGUCCAACAGGGGGCGCUAGCUGCACGCAGAGAAGAGAAGACACCGGAGAGACCGAGGGAGAUAGGAAGAUAGAUGCAAGUUAGCAAAAAUAAUUAUGAGUAAAAGUUGAUACAUUACUUCAAGUUACACAGCAAAGGAAGUUUAUAUUGUUUGGGGGAUCCUGUGCUUCAUAUUGAGUUUAAUAAUUCGUCUAGUUUCGGUGAAGUUAUUUGGUGGUGACUGACUGUAUGCGUGUUGUUCUCUCCAUGGUCAAACUCUGUGAGAGAGAGACUUCAGUGGGCAGGAGGCCAGAGGAACUCUGCUGCUGCUUGUGGAGGAGCCGAGGAGCCAUCCCAUCAUUUGGAUUCGGACGUGCUGCCGUACUUGGAUUUCAGUAGACACCAGCAUGCUCUGAGGACACAUUACUGAUGGACAUGUUGAAGCUACUGCUGGUCUCUGUGAGAGUGAAGGACCCGUUUGACUUCGGAGAAGAUUUUGUUGAUAAAAUAUCCUCACAGAUUGAACCAUUCUCUUUGCAGAAAAACAUGACUUCAGAGUUUCUUUUGUCACAUGAGAUGGUGGUGUUAGCUGUUCUGUACGCAGUUUGAUGAAAUGGUGUCUGACAGCCGCCAUCUGUAAAUAAACAAGAAAGGUAAAACGUGUGAAAUCUUUCCAUCAUGUCUAGUACUAUGUGCUUUGUGUCAAAAUUAUUUCCAUUUUUUGUAAC